ensembl:miRNA MIR500B microRNA 500b
CUGUUCUGGCUCCCCCUCUCUAAUCCUUGCUACCUGGGUGAGAGUGCUUUGUGAAUGCAGUGCACCUGGGCAAGGGUUCUGUGAGAGAGAGC